GGUGGAAAGAAUUUAUGGUGGUAUCCGAGACACAUAUCGAAGCGGACCAUCCAAAGUGAUCUUCAUUUCAAAAAACUGCUUAAUGUUAUUGCCAAGCUUGUUGCUGUAUUGGGAAUACUGCGAGGUACGACGGAGUCCAGUGAUUUGAAAAAAGGUUUGGUUAAUGCUAUUCAAGACCUAUAUGAUGUUGUUCAUCAUGAAGCGUUUUCAGUUGAUAUGAGUGGCCACAUUGAAGACUGGGAUCAAAUUAAUUUAGCAAGGGCUGAAGGUCGCCUCUUCAAUAAACUCAAGUGGCCAAAUGAUCCCAAAUUGAAAGACUUGAUCAAGAGAUUGUAUUCACUUCUGACAAUUAAAGAAUCUCCUGCAACUAUCCCUAAAAAUUUAGAAGCAAGGCGAAGACUUCAGUUCUUUUACGAACUCACUGUUCAUGGAAAUGCCUGUUGCACGGCCUGUUUCGGAAAUGGUCUCCUUUAG